AGAGUUUGAUCCUGGCUCAGGAUGAACGCUGGCGGCGUGCCUAAUACAUGCAAGUCGAGCGAGAUGUUAGCGCAUGAACCUUCGGGGGAUUAUGCUAACGGACAGCGGCGGACGGGUGAGUAACGCGUAGGCAACCUGCCCCUGACAGAGGGAUAGCCAUUGGAAACGAUGAUUAAAACCUCAUGACACCGUAGAAGCACAUGCUUCAUCGGUCAAAGAUUUAUCGGUCAGGGAUGGGCCUGCGUCUGAUUAACUAGUUGGUGAGGUAACGGCUCACCAAGGCGACGAUCAGUAGCCGACCUGAGAGGGUGAUCGGCCACAUUGGAACUGAGACACGGUCCAAACUCCUACGGGAGGCAGCAGUGGGGAAUAUUGCACAAUGGGCGCAAGCCUGAUGCAGCAACGCCGCGUGAAGGAUGAAGGCCUUCGGGUUGUAAACUUCUGUUCUAAGGGAAGAAACAAAUGACGGUACCUUAGGAGCAAGCCCCGGCUAACUACGUGCCAGCAGCCGCGGUAAUACGUAGGGGGCAAGCGUUAUCCGGAAUUAUUGGGCGUAAAGAGUGCGUAGGUGGUUACCUAAGCGCAAGGUUUAAUUUAGAGGCUCAACCUCUACUUGCCUUGCGAACUGGGCUACUUGAGUGCAGGAGGGGAAAGCGGAAUUCCUAGUGUAGCGGUGAAAUGCGUAGAUAUUAGGAGGAACACCAGCGGCGAAGGCGGCUUUCUGGACUGUAACUGACACUGAGGCACGAAAGCGUGGGUAGCAAACAGGAUUAGAUACCCUGGUAGUCCACGCCGUAAACGAUGAGCACUAGGU
rnacentral:rRNA from 1 species